UGCAAGUUAUUUAAGGUUCUUCCUGGCAGACCUUAAUAUGUGUAUAUAUAGUAAUAAAUGUAUAUAUAAAAGCAGGACUUUUUUUCCCCUAAAAAGUGUUUUCAAAUUAAUUGUCCUGCUCCCCCAUGACUCCACCAAGAAUCUUUUUAUUUGGAAAAUGAUUCCUUUAAUAAAGUUAUUUUAAAUAAUGCUGUUUCAAAUCAAGGUAAAAAAGCCUCAAGGGCAAAAUACAGUCCAUUUCAAAUUCUUUCCACCUAAAUAUUUUAAAUGGCAGUAUUUGUGAUUUUGCUUUCUACUACCUCUUAAACUCAAGAAAUCAAUUCAGAAAUGUUUCUAACUGGCCAUAUUGCCCCCACACUGCUGCCCUCCCAUGUCCUUCUUUCCCUCCUGCUCUCCCCAGGCAAGAUUUUGUCAUGGACUCUUUCUGGGAUUGCUGUUCAGCUCAGGGUCAUGCCCCAGCUUUUGUCUUAGCUCCAUCCCUGCCACCACCGCUGGAUGACUGCUGCCUCUGCUCUACUCACGCUCUGCCCCAGAGCUAUUUGUGCUUGAUCUUUCUGUCCUGCUCCAAGGGACAUGACUUGUUGCAGAGGAGGUCUACCAAAAAAGGAACCAAACAGAGAUAGUCUCACACGCCCAUGCUUGCAGAGCUUUCCAAACAAUGACUCAGCAAUGAGACCUCUCUUGGCCAUCUUGCAACAACCGGCAUGGCAGAGUGACAGUGAUGACAGUUCAGUGUCAACAGUAGUACUUCAAUGGCUUCCAGUAAUUUAAGCAAAGACUGUGGCUUCUUCUUGUUAGUAGGGAUUCUUCUGCAGAGACAAAACAAAGACCUGACCUUACAGCUAGUCAUUCCUAUGAAGAGGCUACACAUAAAUAUACUGCCCAUAAGGCCACACAGGAAUCUCAGCACUGAGACCCCUCAAACUGCAAUGGAGGGAACACAGCUGCCACAAAUGCCACCUUCUCUUCCCAAAGAGCUGUUGCCAGGACAGAAGAAGAAUGAGCACGCCCUAUGGAGAAAUGUUGAACCUCUGUUGUCAACGCAAACCAAAAGACAAUGAAAAAGCUGAAAUGAGCACCAUGAAGCAGAGACACACCUCGAAUGCUGCCCCAUGACAGAAGUGAACUCUGAGCUCAGCUACUCGUGACAGAUGACAGAUACCCAACUCCAGCAAAGUGAAGGGGAAGACCUAAGACAGGAGUAGAAAAGCAGUGCUUGGGGUUUUCCAACACACCUUGCAAGAAAAAAAGGUUCCAAAAGACUUAGAAGAAAGCCUCCGUUUCCAGACAAGCUUCAUGGAUUCCACAGGUUUACACAUUCAUGAAAAUUUUGGCUGUAGACACGUGCUUGGGGAUUUUCAAGUUAAUCUUCAUAAAUUCAGAGGUUCCUUGAUUAUUUCAAUUCCUUGGGUAGAACAGAGCUUAUGUUCCAAACAUGAAAUACUUCAAAGCGAAUCCUUCUUCUGGCUUUUAAGAUGUACACAGUGAUCCGUGCGCUUACGAGUAGACAGUGCAUUUAACAGUAUGUCAAAAUGUAUGCAGAGGACGUUGACUAUCAUGCAUUUAAAGAUGUCUCAAAGCAUGGAAACAGUGACGAGGGCCUUGCUUUUGACACAGGUGUGCUCUCGAGGCCAGGAGCGACUUUCAGGGCUGUUUCACGGACAUGUGGAGGAGCAGGAAGAAGCCCGCAGCCUUCCAAACCGCAGCGGGGUGCUCAGGCUUUGUUUCCCACAACUCUAGGACUGCAUGUCUCCUAUGGGAAACUGCAACUUCACAGGUCGAAUUACUGACUGAGGACACCUAGUGGGAUUUUGGUAGACAUCAACGCCACAAAAACUCAUUUCUCUAAGGGACUGAUUUAUUAACCAUUACUACCAUUAAGCCUUUUUAAAACAGUCAACAAUAACAAAAAUCCCUAUAUACAUUAAAAAAAAUAAUCAGUUACUGAUGCCAUAGAAAUAUCCCAGAGUAUCUUCCCAAAUGUUUGCUAAUCUUGGUCAUUCCAUCACAAGCUCUUUUUGUCCUUUCCACAUUCUUUGCUCAAACUGCUAUUUCUCAAAG
rnacentral:lncRNA from 1 species